rnacentral:rRNA from 1 species
CGGACGGGUGAGUAAUGUCUGGGAAACUGCCCGAUGGAGGGGGAUAACUACUGGAAACGGUAGCUAAUACCGCAUAACGUCACAAGACCAAAGAGGGGGACCUUAGGGCCUCUUGCCAUCGGAUGUGCCCAGAUGGGAUUAGCUAGUAGGUGGGGUAACGGCUCACCUAGGCGACGAUCCCUAGCUGGUCUGAGAGGAUGACCAGCCACACUGGAACUGAGACACGGUCCAG